UGGGGAAUCUUCCGCAAUGGGCGCAAGCCUGACGGAGCAACGCCGCGUGAGUGAAGAAGGGUUUCGACUCGUAAAGCUCUGUUGUCGGGGACGAAUGUGGAGAUGGUGAAUAACUAUUUUCAAUGACGGUACCUGACGAGGAAGCCACGGCUAACUACGUGCCAGCAGCCGCGGUAAUACGUAGGUGGCGAGCGUUGUCCGGAAUUAUUGGGCGUAAAGGGAGCGCAGGCGGGAAGGUAAGUCUAUCUUAAAAGUGCGGGGCUCAACCCCGUGAGGGGAUGGAAACUGAA
rnacentral:rRNA from 1 species